rnacentral:rRNA from 1 species
GUCGAACGGUAACAGCAGAGCUUGCUCUGGCUGACGAGUGGCGGACGGGUGAGUAACGCGUAGGAAUCUACCCAGUAGCGGGGGAUAGCCCGGGGAAACUCGGAAUAAUACCGCAUACGCCCCACGGGGGAAAGAGGGCCUCUUCUUGAAAGCUCUCACUAUUGGAGGAGCCUGCGUUGGAUUAGCUAGUUGGUGGGGUAAAGGCCUACCAAGGCGACGAUCCAUAGCCGGUCUGAGAGGACGAUCAGCCACACUGGAACUGAGACACGGUCCAGACUCCUACGGGAGGCAGCAGUCAGGAAUAUUGUGCAAUGGGGGAAACCCUGACACAGCCAUGCCGCGUGUGUGAAGAAGGCCUUAGGGUUGUAAAGCACUUUCAGUAGGGAGGAACUAGCAGCGUUAAUACCGCUGUGAGAUGACGUUACCUACAGAAGAAGAUCCGGCUAACUCCGUGCCAGCAGCCGCGGUAAUACGGAGGGAUCGAACGUUAAUCGGAAUUACUGGGCGUAAAGCGCGCGUAGGUGGUUUGUUAAGUGGGAUGUGAAAGCCCCGGGCUCAACCUGGGAACUGCAUUCCAAACUGACAAACUAGAGUACGAUAGAGGGGGGUAGAAUUCA